GGCAUAUUUCCAACACUCCGUCCCAAAAUUAUUGUCUUAGAUUUGUUUAGAUAUGAAUGUAUCUAGUCAAGUUUUAGUAUUUAGAUACAUCCAUUUCUAAGUUAAGACAAAAAUUUUGGGACGGAGGGAGUAAAAA
rnacentral:pre_miRNA from 1 species